rnacentral:lncRNA from 1 species
AGAGAGAGAGAGAGAGAUACUACUAAUGGAUAACAAUAUAAAUCAAGGCAUGCACGGGGGCGCUCCCUGUGUGCACUACUUUGAGCUGAUCAUGUAUAACAUUUAAGACUGUUUCAUAAAUACACCUCUUCAAAUCUGCAUGGACACAGACGUGCACGGACAUGGAAUAUCCAACUAGUGAAUAGUCUACCUCUUGCCUUUUAAAUAAAAUGAAAUUUGAACCACUCCAUGUAUGCAAAUAUCUCAUAUCCCGCCUAUAAAAGAGAAUAAAAAAUAUAAAAAGAACAAAAAUAGACCCAAGAAAUCAGGAGGAAAAAGAACAGUUCAUUAUAAAUGGGGUGCAACUCAAUUCUCCUUCUCUAAAUGAGAAUUUAGUUACCAAACUCCACUAAGACUUAACCAUUUAAUGACUCAGUUAAUUAUAGUUCCUGUGUGAAACGUUCGAUUAAAAAUGAACUUCUAAAUCAGGUGAUAAUUAUUUUCUCACUGGUUGUCCAACACUAAUUCUAAGCACUCGAAGAGAGACAGAAAGGAAAAUUCUAGUUUUAUCUUGCUGAACAUCGGCAAGCUGUAAAACCUGUAGUAGUAUACAUACAUAUAUACUUCCAUAUGAAAUGGAUAUAAUUAUGGUAUAACUGGACUGGCGCAGCAGAGAAUACAGUGUGUAUUAGUCAUUAUUACUUACAAGGUAAAUGCAGCCAGAUUGCUCCCCAGUAAGAUUGCUUUUGUACGUCGAAAAUCCUGAUUAACACUGUCCAACUUGGCACAAAUUCAGAAUCAGAGGCAGUCUACAAUAUGGCAUAAAAGAGUAAAUGAGGUCGUAGGCCAUGUACUGAAUGGCCUAAAGGCCUAUAUAAAGGGAUCUCUUAUUGUUCUUUCAGAAUUACAGAAGAAAAGUUAUUUUCGGUAUGUCAUGUGUGAUUCUAACAGCAACAGAAAGAAUUUCCAUCGUACACUUGUAAAAUUCACGAUCCAAAAAUAAGUUUUGCAAUAUCAGCAGUAAUUUUUCUUUCUUUUUUUUGGAGAAACAUGCAUCAUACAAUAAUGAACCCAAAUCUGGUAGAUCGUGAGGCCUACCUUCAUAAAUCAAGCCAUGUAGCAAAAAUAAAUUCUAUCAGUCACAAUUUCCAACCUGAAUAAUCAAAAACUCGAAUUCUAUCAUAUCCAUGGUAUAAAUAUUUAUUUACAAAAAGAAAAAGAAAAAGAAAAAGAAAAAGAAACCAUAUUCAUCAAGUAGCACCAAGUAUGCUUGUCUUAGUGCUGAACUAUGUGACUCAUCGCGUGAUUUCCAACAAUUCAGCUACAUUAGUAAAUCUAUAUACUAUAAUAAGGAACUUUUGAGAGCUUUAGGACUAUAAGUUCAAAACUGAAAGGUGGGAAUUAGCAAUUGAAGAACUAGGAUCAAGGACCAUCUUAUUAUCUGAAAAAGGGGUCCACCACGAAGCGCUUACAAAUUGAUCAGAGUUAACUUAUUGCAAUCCAUGUACAAGGAGUCUACAAAUUAACUAAAAUAAAGCAACUGCGACAUGAUUACAGAACUGCAACUAUUGGUCAAGGGACACAACACAACCAUACCAAUGGAAAAUGACCAUGAUGUUGAAAGUGAUGAAAAAUCUCAUCUGCUCCCUGUAAAUCACCCCCUUCAAAUCAUCUAAUGAGAAGCUCCGGCAAAGGAACUCAAUGAACUGAUCACAGAUUCGUAAACCUUGAUUCCUUUCAGGUAUAUGGUGUCCUUAAGGAACUGUAGAACAUAGUUAAGUAAGAAAAGAACCAANN